ensembl:lincRNA
AGGAGAAAAAUGUCUGAAAAAUCUCAUAAAGCCAUGUCAGACGCUCACUGGAUUUCACGUCUGAAAAAGUUUGCCAGCACAGGAGUUUGGCCAUCAAAUGAGGGCAACAGGCCAGCUCCUCAACAAAAAAAGUGGCAUGAGAUUUAUCAAAGGAUUGAGAAAUGCCCAUUGCAAUCUCGUGGGCAGAGGACCUUGCUUGAAGGUGUGCUGAAAUGCACAUGUGGUUUUCACACUCAAAAGCAUAGUACUGCUUCUGCUGCUCCAGCACAAACGGUGCAACAACCUGCCCCUACUGUACCUGCUGAGGAGGUGAUGGAGACGAGACAACUUGAGGCCCAGCCCCAGCCCCCGUCUACUCCAUCAGUGGCAUCAAAGAUUUCACCGCAAUUGUCAAUGGUACAUUUUUUUUUAAAUCAAAAGAAAUGACAAUUUCAGUGAUUCAAGAGUUCAAGGUGUUCAAAGUUCAGUUCAAAGUUCAAACAUAGGAGAGAAAAGAACAAAAAGCAAUAAAAAAAGUUGAGGUGUUGCUAGAAACCUGCUUCUUUUCAUACCUCUUCUACAGUGGGGGAUAGUUUCUAAUUGCUUGAAAUGUAAUGUGAUAUACACUAAUGUUCAAAAAAUUAUUAUUGUUAAAAUAUAAAAGCUUAAUAUUAAUCAUAUUUUGCAAGAAUUCUAUUGUGUUUGAUUUGCUCAUCAAUUAAGUAGAUUUUAUUUGAUUUGAAUUGUUUGAAUAAAUUAUUCUUUAUUUAUUUAAUUUGCCUAUAUUAUUAUUUCACAUUAUUCCAGUUUUUACUAAAUAUUUGAUCAAAUAAAUGUAGCCUUGAUAAACAUAAUUAAAACAUAAAAAAAAAUACAUUGAGCAGAUCGCAA